rnacentral:rRNA from 1 species
GAUGAACGCUGGCGGUGUGCCUAAUACAUGCAAGUCGAACGGGAUCUUCGGAUCUAGUGGCGAACGGGUGAGUAACACGUUGGUACCUACCCCUAAGUGGGGAAUAACUGCCCGAAAGGGUGGCUAAUACCGCAUAAUCCCGCAAGGGUAAAGCAGUAAUGCGCUUAGGGAGGGGCCUGCGUCUGAUUAGCUAGUUGGUAGGGUAAUGGCCUACCAAGGCGACGAUCAGUAGCUGGANCGAGAGGUUGACCAGCCACACUGGGACUGAGAUACGGCCCAGACUCCUACGGGAGGCAGCAGUAAGGAAUCUUCCACAAUGGACGAAAGUCUGAUGGAGCAACACCGCGUGCAGGAUGACGGCC